GACGAACGCUGGCGGCGUGCUUAACACAUGCAAGUCGAGCGGUAAGGCCUUUCGGGGUACCCGAGCGGCGAACGGGUGAGUAACACGUGGGUGAUCUGCCCUGCACUUCGGGAUAAGCCUGGGAAACUGGGUCUAAUACCGGAUAUGACCUCCUAUCGCAUGGUGGGUGGUGGAAAGAUUUAUCGGUGCAGGAUGGGCCCGCGGCCUAUCAGCUUGUUGGUGGGGUAAUGGCCUACCAAGGCGACGACGGGUAGCCGACCUGAGAGGGUGACCGGCCACACUGGGACUGAGACACGGCCCAGACUCCUACGGGAGGCAGCAGUGGGGAAUAUUGCACAAUGGGCGAAAGCCUGAUGCAGCGACGCCGCGUGAGGGAUGACGGCCUUCGGGUUGUAAACCUCUUUCAGCAGGGACGAAGCGCAAGUGACGGUACCUGCAGAAGAAGCACCGGCUAACUACGU
rnacentral:rRNA from 1 species